UAACACGUAUCCAACCUGCCGUCUACUCUUGGACAGCCUUCUGAAAGGAAGAUUAAUACAAGAUGGCAUCAUGAGUCCGCAUGUUCACAUGAUUAAAGGUAUUCCGGUAGACGAUGGGGAUGCGUUCCAUUAGAUAGUAGGCGGGGUAACGGCCCACCUAGUCUUCGAUGGAUAGGGGUUCUGAGAGGAUGAACGGCCACAUUGGGACUGAGACACGGCCCAG
rnacentral:rRNA from 1 species